rnacentral:other from 1 species
ACAUCCCGGGCCGGAACGAAAGAGUGUUGACGGAGAGAUUCGGAAAUGCUUUUGGCUUUGUGGUUGUGAUGUUGUGUUUGCAAAUUGUCCGGCAUUCCGGACAGAGUAGCUAAGCUACUGUUUUUUCACUUCCUGUACAUUUACCCUGUCUGUCCAUAGUGAUUUAGUAGCACCGCAGAUUGCGGUGCUUUUUUUU